AAAUUGAAGAGUUUGAUCAUGGCUCAGAUUGAACGCUGGCGGCAGGCCUAACACAUGCAAGUCGAACGGUAACAGGAAACAGCUUGCUGUUUCGCUGACGAGUGGCGGACGGGUGAGUAAUGUCUGGGAAACUGCCUGAUGGAGGGGGAUAACUACUGGAAACGGUAGCUAAUACCGCAUAACGUCGCAAGACCAAAGAGGGGGACCUUCGGGCCUCUUGCCAUCGGAUGUGCCCAGAUGGGAUUAGCUUGUUGGUGGGGUAACGGCUCACCAAGGCGACGAUCCCUAGCUGGUCUGAGAGGAUGACCAGCCACACUGGAACUGAGACACGGUCCAGACUCCUACGGGAGGCAGCAGUGGGGAAUAUUGCACAAUGGGCGCAAGCCUGAUGCAGCCAUGCCGCGUGUAUGAAGAAGGCCUCGGGUUGUAAAGUACUUUCAGCGGGGAGGAAGGGAGUAAAGUUAAUACCUUUGCUCAUUGACGUUACCCGCAGAAGAAGCACCGGCUAACUCCGUGCCAGCAGCCGCGGUAAUACGGAGGGUGCAAGCGUUAAUCGGAAUUACUGGGCGUAAAGCGCACGCAGGCGGUUUGUUAAGUCAGAUGUGAAAUCCCCGGGCUCAACCUGGGAACUGCAUCUGAUACUGGCAAGCUUGAGUCUCGUAGAGGGGGGUAGAAUUCCAGGUGUAGCGGUGAAAUGCGUAGAGAUCUGGAGGAAUACCGGUGGCGAAGGCGGCCCCCUGGACGAAGACUGACGCUCAGGUGCGAAAGCGUGGGGAGCAAACAGGAUUAGAUACCCUGGUAGUCCACGCCGUAAACGAUGUCGACUUGGAGGUUGUGCCCUUGAGGCGUGGCUUCCGGAGCUAACGCGUUAAGUCGACCGCCUGGGGAGUACGGCCGCAAGGUUAAAACUCAAAUGAAUUGACGGGGGCCCGCACAAGCGGUGGAGCAUGUGGUUUAAUUCGAUGCAACGCGAAGAACCUUACCUGGUCUUGACAUCCACGGAAGUUUUCAGAGAUGAGAAUGUGCCUUCGGGAACCGUGAGACAGGUGCUGCAUGGCUGUCGUCAGCUCGUGUUGUGAAAUGUUGGGUUAAGUCCCGCAACGAGCGCAACCCUUAUCCUUUGUUGCCAGCGGUCCGGCCGGGAACUCAAAGGAGACUGCCAGUGAUAAACUGGAGGAAGGUGGGGAUGACGUCAAGUCAUCAUGGCCCUUACGACCAGGGCUACACACGUGCUACAAUGGCGCAUACAAAGAGAAGCGACCUCGCGAGAGCAAGCGGACCUCAUAAAGUGCGUCGUAGUCCGGAUUGGAGUCUGCAACUCGACUCCAUGAAGUCGGAAUCGCUAGUAAUCGUGGAUCAGAAUGCCACGGUGAAUACGUUCCCGGGCCUUGUACACACCGCCCGUCACACCAUGGGAGUGGGUUGCAAAAGAAGUAGGUAGCUUAACCUUCGGGAGGGCGCUUACCACUUUGUGAUUCAUGACUGGGGUGAAGUCGUAACAAGGUAACCGUAGGGGACCUGC
rnacentral:rRNA from 1 species